rnacentral:lncRNA from 1 species
AAGUGGAGAAGCCUGAUGUGGGGCUGGAUCCCAUAACGCUGGGAUCACGCCCUGAGCCGAAGGCAGACGCUUAACCGUUGUGCCACCCAGGCGCCCCCGAAGUAUAACUUUCUGAGGAGCAGUUUGAAAAAAUGCAGUGAAGUAAAUUGUGCAAGUUCCCGAGCAGCCAGAGGAAAGACCCAUUUAUGUGACCAAGCGAUCUUCAGAAAGGAGAGAUGUAGCCUUCCUCGAAAAGGCUAUCUUCUAGAACUCUCGACUUUUCCAAAAGUAGCCUGACACAGGGCAGAGUGGCCUGCCUCUGCUGGGGAGAUGGCUGGACUGGAGGCACGGUGGUCUUCGGCUCUCUCCUAGAUCCCGGGGUUGCUGGGAGGGAGAGCAGGAGAAGCCUGUUCCUGGGAAGGGUGUGAAGAAUAGAAUAGAAUAGAAGCGCACUUAGUGCAAGUGCCUGUUGAC